UACGUAGGGUGCGAGCGUUGUCCGGAAUUACUGGGCGUAAAGAGCUUGUAGGUGGUUUGUCGCGUUGUUCGUGAAAUCUCACGGCUCAACUGUGAGCGUGCGGGCGAUACGGGCAGACUAGAGUACUGCAGGGGAGGCUGGAAUUCCUGGUGUAGCGGUGGAAUGCGCAGAUAUCAGGAGAAACACCGGUGGCGAAGGCGGGUCUCUGAGCAGUAACUGACGCUGAGAAGCGAAAGCGUGGGGAGCGAACAGG
rnacentral:rRNA from 1 species